GACGAACGCUGGCGGCGUGCUUAACACAUGCAAGUCGAACGGAAAGGCCCUGCUUGCAGGGUACUCGAGUGGCGAACGGGUGAGUAACACGUGGGUGAUCUGCCCUGCACUUCGGGAUAAGCCUGGGAAACUGGGUCUAAUACCGGAUAGGAGCCAUUUUUAGUGUGAUGGUUGGAAAGUUUUUUCGGUGUAGGAUGAGCUCGCGGCCUAUCAGCUUGUUGGUGGGGUAAUGGCCUACCAAGGCGGCGACGGGUAGCCGGACUGAGAGGGUGGACGGCCACAUUGGGACUGAGAUACGGCCCAGACUCCGACGGGAGGCAGCAGUGGGGAAUAUUGCACAAUGGGCGCAAGCCGGAUGCAGCGACGCCGCGGGGGGGAUGACGGCCUUCGGGUUGUAAACUCCUUUCGCUAGGGACGAAGCUUUUUGUGACGGUACCUAGAUAAGAAGCACCGGCUAACUACGUG
rnacentral:rRNA from 1 species